GUCAUUUUGUCAAAGGUUAUAUCUGCGGCACAGCUGGUUGCCACAGCCAUUUGAGCAAAGCCGUGCACCAAGGGGUUAUAAAGGUGUUUAGCACCCUCUGCCUACUGGAAUACACAUAUUGAUUCCAUGAGAUAUUUGCUUCAUGUUUGCAUAGGUAAAUUUUCUGUCAUUCACACUCAGUUAUUGAGGUGAUUCAAUGAGAUGUGUGUACAAGUGCUCUGAAAGCUAUGUCAUGUAGACUAUUACACUACACAUGUGAUAUUGAGAUCUCCAAAGCUGAAGGUCAAGCAGUGGUUGAACAAUUUUUUUAACCCAUUAGUCUGAAGGUACUUUUGAACUCAACACCUCUCUCAUUUCAUGUAAGUAAUAAACCUUUCAUACCUUCUUGUUGUGUGUCAUCAGUCUUGACUUUCCAACCAGAUUUUGGGUGGGAGGUUUAUUCUGUUUCUUCAGAGUGGUUACGACACAGAGAAAUCUGGAUUUCAGCUGAAAAAAAUCACCUCAAGACCGCAACAGGGCAUACUUCACUGAAUUCCAAACUGAUUGCUGAUGUGAUCCUUUGGAUUGGAAAAGUCCAAACAGUUCAUCUGCCCCAUCCCUGGUCAUUUGGCUACUGGCUGUCUUGGAUGCUGGACCCUAAUAUUCUAAGAUACUGACUUUUGGGAACGAUCCACUGGGAACAAUAUGGAGAUUGAAAUCAUGGAACGAGACUGACAAACAGUUUCCAUUGUUCCAUCCCACUGCAGCCCUCCCUCCCUGAGCAAGAAGGAUUUUUCUUGUACACAAACCAAAUCCCAGGUCAGAAAUCAUUUCCUUAAGAAGUCUUCUGGAUCUCCAGUUGAUAUGAGCUCUCGGAGAACCAGAUCUUUCUCCUUUGGAUCACU